rnacentral:rRNA from 1 species
GACAGAGGGUGCAAACGUUGUUCGGAAUUACUGGGCGUAAAGCGCGUGUAGGCGGCAGUGUAAGUCGGAUGUGAAAGCCCACGGCUCAACCGUGGAAGUGCACCCGAAACUACACAGCUAGAGUAUCGGAGAGGAAGGUGGAAUGCUUGGUGUAGAGGUGAAAUUCGUAGAUAUCAAGCGGAACACCGGUGGCGAAGGCGGUCUUCUGGACGAUUAUUGACGCUGAGAUGCGAAAGCGUGGGUAGCAAACAGG